GUUUUGCCUUUCGAAAUCGCGUGCGAAAAAAAAAUGGUGAACAUCUUGACUUUUAUUCGAUUUCAUCCUCAAACUGACCUGCCGUGUCUGCGGACCAAUGCUCACUAAACAGGAAUAAAACGGAUUGAACUAUUUCAUCUUGAAGUGUGUUAAUAGGAAUAUAUCCAGCAACCUGUCUGAAGUUUUGCCAGAACAACUACAACAUUGGACCACAUGCAUUGGAACCUUAUUAUUUAAGGAUUACCAAUGGGGAUGGGCUGUAUUUAAUUGUUGCUGUUAACUAUCUUGGUACCAGUUAUGCCAACAUUUACCUACCUGCAGCAGAGGUCCUGCCGACUUUAAACAAUCAGAGCUGACGGAUUGAUCUAUUUCAUCUUGAAGUGUGUUAAUAGGAAUAUAUCCAGCAACCUGUCUGAAGUUUUGCCAGAACAACUACAACAUUGGACCACAAGCACCUGAACCUUCUUAUUCAAGACACUCCUUGUUGUGCGCUGGCAGAAAUGCAAAGUGGUACCACCAGUCGUCUAUGCCACCUUUCCCCUCAUUUUAGAGGCUAAUGUGGACAGUCCCUGCAGUUUACAGCUAAGCCCUCAGUAUAGCCCUACAAAUUUUAGAUACUGCCGAUGGCGCGUAGAUCCAGUACAUUGGGCCUGAGUUUCCAGUACGCCGAACUAGAGCCAGGAUUAUUAUCAGACGGACCUCUCUGUGGGUGGAUGGAUUCAGAGAUGACCCCAAAGAUGCGGCCAUGACUGUGUCACAUGGACGUUAUUGAUGAAACCAUCAUGAUUUAGUUUUUUGGUGAUAAAUCAACGGACAAAGUGUGUAUAAUUUGUGGAUAAAUAGUGUUAAAGCUAGAAACUUUUCUACGAAUUCCUACUCAAGUGGUGAACUGGAAUAAUAUUGUAUAUAACAAAGAAGAGAAUCUUGUUGUGGGCCGUCUUCAUACACAAUUCUGCAGUCGUCUGCACUAGACCUGUUGGGGCAGUUUGAUUUGAUUUAUCAGUGGCUCUACUUAAAGCAAGCUUUUGUUUUCACAAGCUUGAUGUAAUAUUCUUCUUAUUUUCAAACUGAAAACAACCCCGACAUUUGACAAGUUCCAUGACAUAUUUAAGGCAUAUUUUCCGAAAAUGUAAAAAAGUUACGACCCUUCAAAUACAUGAUUGUUUUUUAGUGAAAAUUUAAGAAAUAAGAAAUUCUGCCUCUUUUAAACCCAAUAUACCGGCUUGGAGAACGAAAUCCAUCUCUGACAUUGCCAGAGGUUCUGUUCAAACUUGUAAAUACUUUUAAUAAUUCGGAUAGUGGAUUCAAUUGACUGUAACAUGACUGUAUAUUUCUUAUGUACAAAAUUAAUGUUUAUUUUUUUCUGAAUAGUUAUGUUUAAACUUUAUAUGCAGCCAAUGGUGUUUUGGGCUUUUGUUAAAGAUGCACUCCAACUCCCAAAUGAGAUUUACCACAAUUCAUAAUAUUAUUUAAAUAUUCCAAAAAGGAUGAAUACAUGUCAAAAACAAUGGUUCUUAUGAAGGAUACCCAGUUUAAUUUUAAAGAAAUGAGCAUAAAACACGGUAUUUUUACCUUAUGUGACUAUAGUAGACCACAGUAAAUCUUUUAGCAUUCACCAAUCAUUUAAUAUGUUUUGCGCUUUCGCUAUUAAAUACAUGGUUACAAUCUUGUUAUCAGUAAUUAAUAAUUUUCAUAAAUGCAUUAUUCAGUUUAAGUAGUUUCAGGCUUAUCAGUCAAAACUGAUGUUUGUUGUACAUGUGUAUGUAUUGAUUUGGAAUAAGAGUGUCACUUUAAUCAUAAGCAUCUAGAUUUUCUAUACAUUUGUAAACAUGUACACUAUUUAUUUAUCUCUGCAUCUUUUAUUUUGAACCAUAAGGGAUCAAAAUUUAAUGCUGUUUAAAUCACUUAUUAUAUACAUCUUUUUUAAGUGACAUAUAUGUAUUAAAAUGGCCUUAUUAUUAUUGCCAUCAUAUGAUUGUAGAAUAAAAGUUGAGACCAGUUUGUGGUAGCCUGUGAGUCAUUCAUGUUGUGAUAUAUUUCAUCAUGGUUUUGAGAAAUGGGAACAAAUGCUUUAAAAAUAUGUUUAACUAUACAUGUGCUUUGAUAGUGUAAGGCUCCAUAAAUGGAGUCAGUUGUGUUUUAUAUUGUGUAUAAUUAGUUUACUUUUAAUUCUCUUUUACAAUCAAUGCAAAGACUUGUGCAAUAAAUUUCUU